GAAGUCUGGUGGACCUGAAGCUGGUGCUCGUCACAGAAGCCAGUUAGGGUAAAACAGGUAACUGGGGCUAAGUCGUAACAAGGUAGCCGUACCGGAAGGUGCGGCUGGAUCACCUCCUUUCUGGAGC
rnacentral:rRNA from 1 species